CGCAUGGAAGCCGAGUCUGGCAAGGCGCCGACUCGGGAAUGUAGUAGACUGCACUAUUGUGUAGCCGAGCAUGUAGGCAUGGAGCCGCAUGGAAACCGGGUCUGGCAAGGCGCCGACUCGGGAAUAUAGUAGGCUGCACUAUUGUGUAGCCGAGAAUGUAGGCAUGGAGCCGUAUGGAAGCCGAGUCUGGUAAGGCGCCGACUCGGGAAUGUAGUAGGCUGCACUGUUGUGUAGCCGAGCAUGUAGGCAUGGACCCGCAUGGAAGCCGAGUCUGGCAAAGCGCCGACUAGGGAAUGUAGUAGGCUGCACUGGUAGGUAUUCAGGCCGCGGACCGCAGUAAUACCGAGAACGUCCUGCGGCUGACUCGGGAAAGUAGCAAGACUACACUGCGCAGCAUGUAGGCAUGGAGCCGCAUGGAAGACGAGUCUGGCUAGGCGCCGACUCGGAAAUGUAGCAAGGCUACACUGCGUAGCAUGUAGGCAAGGGGCCGACUCGGGAAUGUAGCAGAGCUACACGGGUAAGUAUGCAGGCCUGGGGCCAGCUAGGAAGCAGGGAUCGGCACGGGGCUGACUCGGGAAUGCAGUAGGUUACCAUCUAAUACUUAGUAUGCAGGCCUGCGGUCGCAAAGACGCCGAGGCUGGCCAGGGACCGACUCGGUCUGUAGUGGGACCACGCUAAUAGGGUGCAGACCUGGGGACGAAAAGAAGCCGAGAUCGACCCGGGGCCGACUCUGGCUGUACCGGAGCUACACGAGUAACUACUCAGGCCUGACACUACAAGGACUCCGAGAUUGGUCCGGGACCGACUUGGCAGUAUAGCAGGGCUACUCUUUCGAGUAUGCAGGCCUGGGACUACAAGGACGCCGAGAUUGGCCUGCGGAGCCGACACAGGAACAUAUAUAUAUAGCAGGGCUACUCGAGUAAGGAUGCCAGCGGCCGACCUGACGGCAUAGCCGAACUACGCUGACCGUGUGUAGGCCCAACUAAGGACCUCGCCAUCCAACCUGAUGGUCCGGGAAGCGAGCGGGAGCACCCCCUCCAAAUCUUUAAUUGCCAAAUUGCGCACCUUUUGUUACCGUGGUCCGUAGUGACCGAUCUGCAGUCCACGGUGAUAAUUAUUUUCUGAAAGGUUAAUGGCAGUUCCUAUGCGACACGUUUAUAAGAGUAUAUACACACAGUUAAAAGUUGGACAUGAUGGGUGAAUGGGAGGGGGACAGCUCCCGCUCCGUCCGGACCAUGGCACGUGACGCUCAGGCGAACCAUCUGGAUUGGUGCAGUCGGAUGUCAACAGGGGGCAUAGGUCUCCUCAGAUGUUACAAAACGACAGUUUUCUUACGCAGUAGGUUACUUUGGUACGAGAAAGAUUGUACAUCCUGUAUGCUGAGCGUUGAGCAUUAUGACUCGCUGAAGUCGUCCCUGACUGCAUGUAGCAUUCAAUAUUGGUAAUGGGAGUCUGUUGCCACGGUUAGUAGUGUACGGUGACGUGCUCCUCUCUAAAGACUGUUAUAUGAGAACAUUUGAAGAAUAGAGACACAUUUAAGUAAUCGAAACGACGACGAAGGAAGGAGAAGGAAAGGGAAAAGACAAGGACCAACCCUAGCACCGCCGUUGUCUGCCCGAUCUGUGAAAAACAUACACAUCGGCAUUUGGAUUGCGAGAACACCUGCGGCGCCAUUGAAGUCAUCAUCAAUGAUGGACAUCUGACAAUUAAAAAGGAAGUCAUCGAUAAUGGGCAAGCUUAAUUAUGGUCCGGGGUAAGGAAAGGUGAUCAGUGCUGCUGAACGUUUUCCAGAAAACUGUUUCAUUGGGAAAAGUCCCGAAAAUUUUUACCAAUACGAACCCACGAGAGAGAAAAUUGGGGAAAGCUAAAAUACCUUAUGGCUGUACGUAGACUUCGAUGGGACGCGGGGUGAGAUAGAAGCGUGGCCAUAGUAAGGGAGCAUUUUCUUAAAAAAAUUGUAUUAACUAUUGCAUACCUCUGACAAACAGGUAGGAACAGUUUAAGUUUGAAUAUGUUAAGUUAUAUGAACCAGUAGAGCAUGGUCGAAGUAUAUAUAAGGACUUUGAUGGAGGUACCUCAGCUUAGACUUUUAGGGAAGUUGGAAGUUUAUGGAGUCAGUGGCAGGCUACUUAUGUGAUCGCAUAACGUCUUAUUAUUAGAUAAAGGGACACAUGGUGUAGGAAUUAUAUAAAUGGCACACAUGUCUCCAUGGUGUAGAGUGAAUGAAUAGAGGAUUUCCUCAAGGUGCCAGUCUGGGGCUAACUUUAUCAUUUGUGUACAUUACCAGAGGUAGUCAAAGGUACAGUGAAGAUAUUUUUCAGAUGAUAGUCGCUAUAAACAUGAAUCGUUCUGUGUACCCUGCUAAGGAGCAUUUCAGCUAGACAUCAAUGCAGUUGGGAAAUUGGUUGAAAGUAGGCAGCUACCAUUUAAUGUAAUGAGUAAUUUGAGAAUGACAAUCAGAGGGCCAAAUACGGGCUCGGAGGUCAAGAACGGAACACGUUGAUUGACCCAAUCAAGCUUUAGCGGUAAAUGAUCAACUUAAGCUUCAUGAAAACAAUCCAGUAGCCGGAAGAUACCAGAAUGUAUGUACAUAUAUUUCUGUAUUCACAAGUUGUAAAAUCAGUGAUAUUCAGUUUGUUUUUAUACUGACUGCGAUGCUGAUUGCUUUUCUGAAUAAACGAAGAAGGCCAACCAGAUA